AAUAGUACCAGCGGCAGAGAAGCGAUGACUGUAUAUGGUCGCUUGACCCUGGCACAAGGGGAGGUCAUCGUGGAGCCAAUAGCGAAACCGGCUGGAAUGGCC
rnacentral:ncRNA from 2 species